UCCGGACUGGUCGCUCCAUGCCUUGCUCGCCCAAUGACCACUCUAAACACUCCUUUUUGAGCUCCAAAUGCCUUCAAGUGUUUCCAAGAACUCCAUGUGGUACUCCAAUACCUGAUAAGGACUCAUGUAUGCAAAAUGCAACCUAAACAUGGCUAAAUCCUAAUCUAUACGAUCAAAAUGCACAUGGAUGAAUGGAUAAAACAAUAGAAAUAUGCAAGCUAUCAGGUAUCAGUGUAAUCAACCAUCGUGAGAGUUAACGUGAAAGCGACACAUAGGAAAGUGACUUCUCAAAUAAUAUUAUAGAGAUAUGUUCCUCUUUAAUAUGGUUGUCAAUAUAUUGGAAUAUACUGUGGCCUAGUUGAUAUUUUUUUGGUACAUAUUAUGUGAAUUUGGGUCCAGCUAUAUAUAUAGUGUAUGACGCAUGGAAAAGAAAAGAAAAGAAAAUAUGUUGUCUGUUGUCAAAAGAGAUCAUCAAAUAAAUUGAUCUGAAGAAAUAAAAGUAUCAUAAUUUAAACUAGAUAUACAGAUCAUCAAAUAAAUGUACAUUUUCUUAAGUAACUUGAAAAACUAUUUACAUUCUUAAACAAAAAAGUUAUAAAUUAUAAUCUCAUUAAAAAUUACGUAUAUUUUCUUCCGUAACUAAAAAUUAUAAAAUGAAAAUUAGUUGAUAUUAUACUAGAAAACUCCUAUUCUAAAUUAGACAUACAGAAAAUAAGUUAUUUAUAAUACUUUUUUAUAAAAUAUAAUUACACAACCAAAAAUAAAUAAUGAAAAUUAGCUGAAUUAAUUAUGCAGUUGGAUUAUAAAAUCGUAUAUCUCUCACAACGAUAUACAUUUAUCCAGCUCAGUCCAAAAUAACUGAUUUUUUUUCCGUAAAAAGGCUUAAAAUAUCAGAUUAUUGAAAGACAUAUCUGAAGCAGAUCGUUAGAUGAGUAUGGAUUCUAGUUCAUCAAUCAAUGAAUUUGAUUAGAUUAUUAUGGAAAUUUGUUCAUAUACUGAUGGAUUGGAUUAAUGUCUAUAUGCAGGAAUGGAUAUAACUGAUUUGAUGUUCAUGCCAGAAGUGAUCAUAUAUAUAUGUCUUAACUCAGAAUUUAAAGCUGCAUGAUUGGGAUGGGAGACUAUUUGAGAAAUCAUAAUGUUAUAUUAUUGUCUCUCUGGUCUUUAAUAAAUUUAUUUGAGAAAGAUGUAUUUUUUGUGUUUUUAUAAAAAAAUUAUAAAAUUCAAGAAAAUUAAUUGAUUUUAUUGAAUUACUAUUGGUUAAAAGUUAUUGAAAAUUAAAAAUUACAGAAAACAAUAUAUUUAUUUUGGUAGAUUAAUGUAUUUUCUUAAUAUAUGUGAAAAUACUAAAAAAACUAUCUUUGUGGAACGGAGAGAGUAAUUUAUAUCUGCAAACCAAGGUAAGAGCUGGGAGACAACGGUUAGACAAACAAACGUGCACAUAACAUUCCUUGCUAAUUUUAUAUCGUAAGCAUAGCUGGAAAUUGCAAAACAAAUUAAAGCUCCAUACAUUUAGCUCAUCUUCUUUAAUUUUGGAAUAAAUGCAUGAAGGGUUUAUAUUUUAGGGUCAUCAAGCCAAUUCACAAAUAAUUUCAUCAAUAAUUUGACGAAAAGAUAAUAAUCUUAGUAUUAUUUGUCUUAUCUAAAAUAUUCAGGAUAAGCAUUUAUAAAAUUACUUUUUACCUCAAUUUCUAUAAUAUUCUUGCCAUUAAUCUAUUAUAUUCUGUAAUUAGUUUAGUUAUGUUUAUCUAGUAGUAUAUAAUUUGUGACAAUACAAUAAUACAAAAGUAACUAGUCUAAUGUAGAAGACCAUCGUAAAGUAUAUUUGAUCUUUGUCAUGUAGGUUUAAAGAUAAUUUUGGACUAUCUCCCUAAUAAUUCAUAUUGUCACUUGACCAAUAGUCACCGAGGGACCAAUCGAUCCAAUAGAUUCUCAGAACUGGGGUCAUGAAUUCACUUAUAUCCAAAAAGAGACAAAGUUGAAAAUAUCAGACAACUUGAAAUUUAAACAAUACACAUCUUUUUUAUUCUAACACAAACAGUACUCAUCAAUUGCGUUAAAUUAAACAAAUUUUCCAUUUUGUUGUAAAAAAACCUAAGAAAUGUUUCAAUUUCUGCUUUUAUGCCGACCUUGACGGGAAUCUUUAUCCCUUAUCAGUCGGUCCAUAAUUUUGUCGACUCGGAAACAAGAGGUAAACUGAAAAAAAAAAUCAUAAAAUAUACCACAAAACUCGAAAUCAAAUCCAUACAUGUCGACAAUAAUACAUUAUUCAUCAUCAUGAUCAUGCAUGACCCAUGGGAAUAUCUGGCUCAUCUUCCAACUCAAUCCCAAGCUCAGCUAGUCUUUUGUCCUUGUAAACGUACCACUUGGAGAAAACGAGGAAAAUAAGGAAGUUCAAAGUAACAAUUACGGCCACAAGCCAAUAGAAAUUGUAUAGACGGCCAUUGUUGAGAUCAUCAGCGAUCCAAGGGUGAGCUUUAUCCGUGAAUUUCUCAACAAUAGUCACGAGAACAGAGCUGAAGAAAAAUCCUAACGCCAAUGUGCUCAAUAAAAGCCCCGUGCUCAUCGUUUUCAUACCUUUAGGACAUUCUCUUAAGAAAAAAUCCAACUGUCCUGUGUAUAUCAAGGCUUCGCCGAUACCAACAAUAAGGUAUUGUGGAAUGAGUAGAUAAAACCCUAGAGGAAGCGAUUUUAAUAGCAACUAGCCUUUGACCCGCGCGUCCGCGCGGAUAAAUUUUUCGUAAUUAUAUGUUUUCACUUUUAAAUGGUUUAUAUAAACAUAAUUGUUUAUGUUCUUAUUAUAGAUUCAUAUGUUAUUGAGUUUCGAUAUAUUUGUUUCUUGUUCAAUGUGUUGAGGGUCCAUUAAUAAACCAUGAGAUUGUGUUUUUUUUUUAUUGUGCUUUUAUUCAUUUUACUUGGUAAAAUAAAUAUUAAAGUGCAAAAUAUUAGAAUUUUAAGUAUAUUUGUGGGUUUUAUGAAAUUAAACUAUAAAUAUUGAGCUUUAAAGUUGAAUAUAAAGUUCUUACAUUGAUAUUUUUAAGAACAGACAAAAACCUAAGAAAAAAUAGAAGCAAGUUAGGAAAAAAAUCAAAUAAGUACAAAUUUUUGCAAAUUUUAUUUAGCAAGCCUAAUUUAGGUUACUGAAUUAGGCCAUUUUGUUAUAAAUAAAAAUUUGGUACGUCAUAUUUUACAGUUACAUAGUGGAUUGUCUAUAGUAGACAUCAAGAACUUCUUCGAAGCCCAUAUAUUUUUUUCGAAAAAAAAAAAUAUAUAUAUUUAGCUUCUAGCGACUUUUCUCAUUUUUUAGAGGGAAAUGUUCUAAAAAGACAUUUUCUGGUACAGCUGGUUGCCCAUUUCAAUAGCUAGCUAGACAGUGAAAAUGAACCAUACAUUUUUAUAAACUAUGAAAUUAAAUUGUGUUUUUCUUUUAUUUUGAUUUUAUUCAUUUUACUUGGUAAAAUAAAUAUUAAAAUAUAAAAUAAUUGAGUUUUAAGUAUACUUGUAGAUUUUAUGAAAUUAAACUAUAAAUAUUGAGAUUUAUUGUACUUCUUCUUGGGAUUUAAAGUUGAUCCUUUAUUUUUAGUAUUAUGAUAUGCUAUAUCAUUUUUUACAUGCAAUUAAAUAUUUUUAAUAAUGUUUUUCUUGUUAUUAUUUAACUUAUAUUUUAAAACAUAACUUUAAAAAUAUUUUUUUUAAAAUAAUAAUAUAUAUAUAUAUAUCAAAAUUGGUUACCAAUUUAAGAUCAGUACAUCAAAAUAAACCAAAAUAAACCAAGUUUUUUAAGAAAAAGAAUAAAAACUAAAUAAAAAUCUAAAACCUACGCCGUCUCUAUCUUCUCUCCUUCUCCGCCUCUCUUCUUCUUCUUGUUCGGCCUCCACCACCAUCGCAACCAUGAAACAAAUUAAUAUUGCUUUCUAUGUUGAAUCAAUCUAAAUUAAUCUAUUUAGAACUAAUCUAUAACAACACUUGUAAGCAAAUCGAAAAAGGAACCACAUUCAGACUUGAAACGAAAAUCAGAAUCGGGAGAAUGAAAUUUGAGGAUGAAAUGUGAAACUUCAAGCACCCAUUAGGAUAGGAACUCUAUACAUCAAACGAAGACACAACUUCACGGGAGAGAAGGAGAAUAACCUUUAAACAUGUGAAAUGAUUGACUUUCGCAAGCUCAAUGCGUCUCAUAUUAAAUUUUUUUUUUUUCAUAUUAAAAUUUUGAUUGAGCCGUCAAACAGAAUUUCUAUUUUCCAUCACCACCGUUCUCCUCCAACAAUCUAUCACCGGAGUUUCUCAAUCAAAAAAAAAUUGAACGCAAUCACUUCACAUGAAAUCAUGGAUUCUUCAAACAACUCAUAAUAAAUUUUCGAGAACCAAAUCAAUCGCUUAAAAAACUUCAUCAAAAACCUUAAGAU